CAUGUAACUGUAAAGAGGCAAACUGGAUGGAUAUGGGUCCGGGCCUUGAAGAGGUCAUUAAGUGGCUGUGUGACCUUGGGCAAGCCACUCAACGGCUCUGAACCUCAGUCUUCUCGUCUUUAAAGUCCAGAUGAUAAAAACACUGAUUGCACAUCGUUGAGAAGAUCACCUGAAAGAACAUGGAUGGAGGACACAAUAGAGUAGUGGCCCGUGGUGGACGUGCCCACGUAUGCAUGAUGACAUCAUGGUGACCCAAUCUAAGGCUGGUCACAAUUUAUUCCAAGGCCCUGGGUGCUGUUUCACAAUGCAUCUUUCGGCCUGGUUUUGUCUUUUUUUUUUUUUUUUUUUUUUUAAGUUUUUAUUUUAAUUCCACCUAGUUAACAUACAGUGCUGUGUUCGUUUCAGGUGGCCUGGUUUCAUCUUAAUUCUAUAACCGUUAAAGCUAUGCGAUUAACGCAUGAGGACACACACACACACACACACAAGCCAUGCCAGGUCAUGAUUAUCCCCGCUGGGUUGGGACCAAGAGAACCCAAACUUCAUAUUUUGCCAAAAGCUUUUACCUCUUCUCAGCCAGUUCUUUUCCACGGCAGAAGCCAAAGAGCCAAAUGGCACAGUCUGAGUUUGCCAGCCACUGGCCGAGGCUCUGGCUGCUGGCACCCUGCUCUGCGGCCCGUUGUGAGAUCGCAUCGGCUCCGCCUGGCAUGGAAAAGGGGAGCUGGCGCUGCCCGGCCUGUAGGUGGGAGAGGAAGCAGGGGACGCUGGUUCUUGGCAGGCAAACCUGUUGCCGCUAAAACUUGGCACGUCUGGGUGGCUUUAGCAGUCCAGACAGAGAAUUAGCACACAGCAACGCCAGUCUGGCUCCUUGGUACUGCCCAUGGAAAGAGAUUUCUUCCUUGGCAGAGAGCUUGGUACAUCGCAGAGUUGGUGCUGGGAGACCAGCCUUCCAGGAUCAGCACCGCCUUUCACCAGCCACGGGAUGUGGACAAGGCGUUUAGCUUCCUCGGGCCUCAGUUGCCAUCGGCCCCAUCUAUCGACGUGAAGACUGAGGCAGUGAUACGGGUGAAAGCAAACUGUAUACAGAUACACCUCGAACACACGCAAGACAUCGGAUCGUGCUCUCCACAAACAGCCCUUUCACCAGACUGGCCUCCUGUGAUGUUUUCUCAUUCCGCCUUAUUAAAAAGCUGCUUACUUGGGUAAAA